rnacentral:rRNA from 1 species
UACGUAGGGCCCGAGCGUUGUCCGGAAUCAUUGGGCGUAAAGAGCGUGUAGGCGGCUCGCUAAGUCUUGCGUGAAAUCUCGGGGCUCAACCCCGAGCGGUCGUGAGAAACUGGCGGGCUAGAGUGCGGGAGAGGAGAGUGGAAUUCCUGGUGUAGCGGUGAAAUGCGCAGAUAUCAGGAAGAACACCCGUGGCGAAGGCGGCUCUCUGGAACGCGACUGACGCUGAGACGCGAAAGCGUGGGGAGCAAACAGG